rnacentral:rRNA from 1 species
UACGGGGGGGGCGAGCGUUGUCCGAAUUUACUGGGCGUAAAGCGCGUGUAGGCGGGUUGUUAAGUCCGCUGUGAAAGCCCGGUGCUCAACGCCGGAGGGUCGGUGGAUACUGGCAGUCUUGAAGUGGCUAGGGGGAAAUGGAAUUACCGGUGUAGCGGUGAAAUGCGUAGAUAUCGGUAGGAACACCAGUGGCGAAGGCGGUUUCCUGGAGCCCACUUGACGCUGAGACGCGAAAGCUGGGGGAGCAAACGGG